rnacentral:lncRNA from 1 species
UUUGGAGAGGAGCACUAUGACGACAACCUCCGGAACCUAGGCAUCGAAGAUAGCGGACACGCGAGAUAGGAGUUAUCCAGGUCAGUCUAUGAAUCGCUUCCGCCAUCAGCCACUAGAAACCUUUGUUGUACUCCAUAGACCAUCAUGGUCUUGUACUCCAAAUUUUGUAAAUGCUUGGAUAUUUUGUAUCAAGGAUGUGUCCAUCAGCUAACCUUGGAUAUUUUGUAUCAAGGAUGUGUCCAUCAGCUAACCUUGGUAUCAGUAAUCUCGGGGAUGGUGAGCACAAAGGUCAUUUUUUGGGAAAUUUAUAUCUCGGAAAUCCGGCCCUGAUAACCUUAGUAUCAGAGCCAGUCUAACCAUUGGCUAAUCCUAUCUUAGCCGGGUCAAUAAACCCUAGGUUACCACCCAUCCAAGCCUUAUCCUACCCAUAGCCAAGCCUAUCCUAACUGAUAGCAUGUAUAGUGAUAAUCAUCACCUUUCAGCAGCCGAUGCCCAACCGAUGAGACUAGCCGAGCGGUCACAUGCCUGUGACCAACACCUGAGUUGUCCCAUCCGCAAGUGUGCAAGAGAAGAUUAUGUUUUCUUUCUAUAAAGGAAACGUUUUCUCCAACCCACUACACCACAACCACCUUCCAAAUCCCAAACCGCCAAGAUGUCGGUCCCCGUUGUAUACAAUGAGACCACCGCAUCUGAGCUUGGAGAUUUUGUAGAUGUUCUUGCCAACCUCAGCUGUCGUGGCUUUACCAUAGAAGAGCCCCUGGAAUAUGUUGUGUACCAGCAGCACACGAGUAAUGGCAUCCAUCACUUCCGGGCAAUGGUGCACAUCUACGACAGGGGUAUCUCGCCAGAAUGCCCUUACCAGUUCACCAGAAGGACAACUUCCUAUGAGCCACAAGCCAUCCAGCUAGCAGCUCAACAGGCUAUAGUUCAAAACCGGCACGUGUCAUCGAGGGUUAACUGCCGCUCGUUUUACUACUACCCCUAGCCAUGAAAGUAAUACUAGGCCGCUCCAAAUCGCCAACGGAGACCAUGAGACGGACCCCACCCCGUUGCAUCUUGUGCGCUACAUGAGAGCACAAGAGGCACUGUUCAAGUAGGUCACCGUCGACCUGAUUGCAACUCACGGAAAGCUAGCUCGCCUCACCCCGAGAAGAAGAGAAGCUGCACCCGAUGCCACCAAACCAAUGAUGUUGUUCGGGAGAUCGAUCGAGCCCUCGAGGUCUAUGCCUGCUGCCGACCCAAAUCAUGCGUCCGUCUCCGUGGAAGAGCUCCGUCACAUUUUGGGGAUUUUCUCCAACGGGACGGUAACCACCGCACCCCGUGAUGGACAUCAUCGCUACCCCAGCCAUGUAACUCCACAUUCUACCCGAGUCGACCGCGACAUCGAAGUCCCAGAAGCCUCGACGUCCGCAAGUCCCGCCCGACUAGAUGUCAAGGAAGUAGACUAAGCCACUAGAGUAGUAACCCAAAUUUAGUAUUCCUACGCCCUGCAAUAUUGUGAGCUUGUAUUUUCAUGAGUAAAUUGCAGGACAUUUGUGUACCAUUAUUUUUAAAUAGGACCACCUGUACCUGUGUAAGUAUCUUUUGACUUCUAUCUAUAAAGAAAAAAUUGGGUGAAACAACCAGGAACCAACCUGGUCGACAACCAUAGUAAUAUGUCACAUUUAGUGAAUUAUAUGUGUGGCUUUGACCCGACCACGUUAGAGCAUAACGACAACCGAGAUCGACCACCCUGAAAUGUGUGCGCUAGCCAAACCCUAUAUAAGGAGUCACCCAAUAACCAUCCCCAGCGCCCUCACCUUGUGCAUUGCCUUCACAACCAUUUUUCCCCAUGUCGCGCCUUGGGAUUCAUUUGAGAACCCCGGGGAGUUUUGCUAAGAUAUUGUGGGAUUUUACCCACAGUGCCAUGGGUUGUCCCCACCGACCCUAGUACGAACUGUUCAAAUUAAGGAUCACUUCCACCACCACAAAAAAUUGGGCCGUUGCGCAGAUCCCACCAGUAGAUCCAAACCAAGACCCUACGAAAGUUUCCUUCAUCGGGAAAUGUAUGCCCACUCCAGAAAUGGUCAUAGAGGUUGCUGCCUGCGAAGCAAUUACCCGCCUUCAAUUUGCAGUACCCUAUGCCAGUGAAUUGGGGUAUUAUUACUUUUCGAGCCCUGUAGCACCCAGAGAAGCAGCGUCUUUUCCCAGCACCCGAGCAAAGAGAGAUUCGGUGUUAUCAAGCUUGUGCAGUAUGUCAUCGCUCAAGAGCGUUUGACCCAGCAAGUGAUGGAUUUCCUUCAUACCAUUGUUGUUAUGAAUCCUCAUAUCGCCAUUGGCAGGCCUCUAAGGCCAAACCAAGAAGGACACGUUGUGCGAGUCCUCCAUCCGCUCUCCCCGAAGGACGAAGGAUAUACCCCACUCCCGGGAAUAUUUCCUCAUGACCUAUAUUUUUUUCCUGUACCGUAGACGCCAUGGUUGUAAUCAUUAGCAUAGCUUUUGAUUGUAUGAUGUGAUAUCUGUGUUGUGUUUUAUAAUUUACUAUAUGGGUAUCUUAUGUCAAUUGCAGUUGUUUUGUUGCUAUGAUUUGAAAAUCGAUUGUUUCUUAUUGUAGCAAAUCUCAGGGUGAGAUUUUAUUAAAAGACCAGUGCGACAAAAACUUUUCCAGCAUAAAUUUAAAUUGCAUGCCCUCACGUGGUCCGGCUCACAUCCACACUAGAGUUGCACCAAUUAUUAACUUUUUCACUGUAACCACGUCACAUAGUGUGAGUAGAAUAUUUAUUCUCAUGUUAUUACUGGAUUGCAGUGGGAGUAAAGCUUUUGCUACCACCUUAGAAAAUCUCAAGGACAAGAUUUUUCUUAAGGGGGUAGAGUUUGUAACACCCCAAAAAAUUUAUCAUGUUUUUAUUAAUUAAAAUUUUGUUAGGGAUAUUAAUUUUUAUUUUCUAGAUCCUCUAUUGGUUUUAGAACCAUCCUUUUUCUUUGAAAUUAUAAAAUUUUCCCCUCCAAAUAGAAACCUUUGAAAAAUAUUGUGCGGCUUGAAUGUUUGAAUUAAAAGUAUUUCAUUUCAUUUUUAAAAAUUCAGGGAGAAAUAUUUUUAUAAUGAAGCUUGCCAAAUUUAAUUAUUUUAAUGGCCUUUUUGAAUUCUUUAAAGGGCCUCCAUUGCACUACAACCAUUUUAAUUAUUCAUUUAAAGACCCCAUAAAAAUUUGGAGAUGUCUUGUGAUGCCUAUAGAUCACUCUUAUGCAAAAACCCAUCUUGGCCUUUUGAAAAUUUUGAGCAAACCAUGCUCAUCUGAAUUAUGUUCCAGUUUAGUGGUUUGAACUGCAACCCUAUUUUAUUUUCCCAUAAUCAUCAUGAGAUAUUUCCUUCUUACAUUCCACCCUACCAACCCCUUAAGUACAUGAGUUUAGCUCCAUUGGACUAUUUUAAGCCCAUGUAAUUAACCUAUGGAGUUCCUGUCUAGAAAUGAAGUUUUGUAAAACUUGCACUAACUAGUUUCUGUUUUUCUCAAACUAACCAUGCCAUCCUCAUUAGCACCUAAAGAGGCUCCAUCAUUCUGUCGAGCACCCUGGGUGCAUGGCGGGAUUUGGCAUGCUCCUAACCUUGCCUUAGAAACUUGUUUCCCUGGCCUAACUAACAUGUCCCCUAGCCUUCCCUUGCCCAUAAACCUAGAACAGUCAAGCCUCAAUUGCAUCUGAGCCCCCUGGCGUAUCCUGGCUUUUUGUUGAACACCGGAUGCACAUGCUCGAAACACGAGAAGAGCACGCGCAUUGUGUUGGGGAACAUUGCACGGGAAACAAAAAAAUUCCUACGCUCACCAAGAUCAAUCUAGGAGAUGCACAUCUACGAGGGGAGAGAUUGUAUCUACAUAUCCUUGUAGAUCGCUAAGAGAAACCUUUAAAGAACGCGGUUGAUGUAGUUGAACGUCUUCGCGAUCCAAAUCGCAAUUCGUCCCGUGAUCCCAUCACGAUCCAUCCUGAUCUAGUGCCGAACGGACGACAUCUCCGCGUUCAGCACACGUACAACUCGAUGGCGUUCUCCGCCUCCUUGAUCCAACAAGCGAGGAAGGAGAGGUUGAUGAGUUCUCUAGCAGCGCGACGGCGUGACAGUGGUGGUGGUGUUGUUGUCCCGGCAGGGCUACACCUAGAUCUAUCGAAGCUGCGAAAACGAUCUAGGGAGAGAGAGGGGCGCCAAGGGCUUCGUGUGUCCUCUCGGGGUGCCCCUCCCCUCUAUAUAUAUAGGUGGAGGGGCGUGGGUGUGACAGCCCGAGACCGACGCCCCAGAAGAUUUCCCUUUUUAUUCCGUUGCCGUCCUGUGAUUAGGUUGUCUGUUGCAUUCAUCUUCGCAUCAUGCACAUCAUCUGCAUUGCAUCGGCACUCCGUUGCCGCCAGUUUUCAAAACUUGCAUCCGUUAUUAGUUGCGGUUCUCUUCGUUCUCGUCGUUGACCGUGUUGAGCCCGACCACACACGCACGUACCCGCGGCAUCGUUAAAAUAUUUGGUUUUAAAAGUGUGUAUAAAAUAUUUCCGGAUUGAGUCGAAACUUGGCGUGCGGUCUUAUUUUAAUAUAGGUAGGCCGCCUGCCAAUUUUCGUCGUAAUCGGAGUUCGUCUGGUACCCGAACGGUCGACCAUAGCGGCACCGUCUUCGGUUAUCGUCGGACGUUUUUCGGUUUUAAAAUAUUGUUGCCGGGUCGCACCAUUCCCAUCUCGUAUCAGCCUACACCCCUCUACACGGCCUAACCUAACCCUAGGACGUUUCCGGAGCGUCCGAUCGAGAUUGGAGAGUCCGAAAACGCCCUGAUUAGCUAACCCUAGCCCAUGUGUCUAUAAAAGACACCAAACUCUUCUUCCACCUCGGUUCCCAUGCCACCCUAACCCUAGCCGUCGCAGCCUCCUCCCACCUUCUCUCUCCUCCCAGCCGCCAGGGCCCGCCAGGCCCGCAGCAGGCCCUCCGGGGCCCGAACCACCGCUGCUAGCCCGCGCACCCAAGCGCCUUCACCCCGAGCGCUGCUCCCGCUCGGCCAUCACCGAGGCAACGCCAGCGCGUUCAGCUCCCGUCACCUCCCCACGCAGGUGCAUCACCGGACCGCCGUGCCGCCCUUGCAGCUCGUCGGAGCUCCACGAGGCCGCCUCGCCUCGCUCCUCUCCCUUCUUCUUCCUUCCUCUUCUUCUCCCUCACGACCUCUCUCUCUUCCGUGAGCCCCGACCAAAGUCCCUACGCCGCGUGGUGCCCUGCCGCCGGUGAUCCAGCCGCUGUCGGAGCCCGUCCGCCGUCGGUUCCUACUGCCGAGUUCCCCCGCACUGCCCCGCGCCAGCGCCACAGCGCCCCGCCUCCUCGAUCCAAUCGGAUAGGGACGGGUAGGAGCGCCUGGCCGUUGACCGCGCCAUGCCAGACUGCGUCCCCGUGGGCCGCCUCCCUGCCUCGCGCGCUCGACCGCGCCAGUCGCCCCCUGGGCCGGCCAGCUUGCCCCUCCGCUGGCCCAGCCGGCCUCCCCUGGUCUUGGCCCAGUCGAACCAAGCCGGCCUGCUCACCUCCUCUCCAGGCCGGCCCAGGAGCCACGGUGAGCUGAUUCCCCCCCAGCCGUCUAUUUAGCGCCCGUGCGCCGUUUAGCUAUCCCGCGCCCAUGUCCUGUUUUGGGCCUGUAGCCAGAUUCUGCCCAGUAGUAUUAUUUUAGGUUUUUUCGGAUUUAUUAUUUUCAGGAAAAGAAGUAUUUUAAAAUGGUCGCAACUUUUAAACGUGCAUCGGGUCGGAAAGAAUUAUAUAUGUAACUUGUGUAGAAUUUCACGUAGAACAUUAUUUUGCAACUUGCAUGCAUGUUUGGAGUGGUUUGACCGUCGUUUUCCUAGAAUAUAUGUGAUGUCCUAUUAGGGUUAUAUUUCCGUAGCUAUUUUUGUGCGCGUCCGGAUUGCUCAAAUUACAUCGAUAAAAUGUUCAUGUUGUUCGGGACCCUUUGCCAUGUAUUUUAGAGUAGUUGCUUGCAUUUUUUGCAUGUAGGAGCUAUCAAUAGUUUGCUAUAUCGUGUUUAGGACAUAUUCUCGCAUAUAUGUGUGACGUUAGUUUUAUUUUGCAACCCCACAUAUUAUAUAUGUUUUCAGGGUAAAAAUCCGUAUAAUUUAACUGUGCAAUUAGUUUUUCCUUUCGAGUAAGUUAGUGCGCGUGAUAUUUCUGCCAUGUUGCCCUCUUGUCUAUUUUGUGGAAUUUAUUCCGUGCAUGAUUGAUACGUCUCCAACUUAUCUACAAUUUUUGAUGGUUCCAUGCUAUUAUCUUAUCAAACUUUGGAUGUUUUGUAUGCCUUUUAUAUUUUUUUGGACUAACUUAUUAACUCAGUGCCAAGUGCCAGUUCAUGUUUUUUUCGUGUUUUUGAUCCCUUUCAGAGGAGGAUUUCAAACAGUGUCCAAACGGAAUAAAACUUCUAAAAAGAUUUUUUCGAAACAGAAGAUACGCACGGGACGUGAGAACCAAGGCAGAGGCCACCAAGGGACGCCACAAGCCCCCUAGGCGCGGCCAGGGGGCCCGCGCCUAGCAGGCUUGUGGGUCCCGUGUGGCUCGUUUGCCCUACCUCUUCCGCCUAUAAAUUCCUGAAAAAUCCAAAACUGCGCGAGAGAUCCACGAAAAUACUUUUCCGCCGCCGCAAGCUUCUGUCUCCGCAAGAUCCCAUCUAAGGCACGUUCUGGUGCCUUGCCGGAGGGGGGAUUCGGAUACAGAGGGCUUCUUCAUCAACACCAUGACCUCUCCGAUGAUGCGUGAUUAGUUCACCACAGACCUUCAGGUCCAUAGCUAGUAGCUAGAUGACUUCUUCUCUCUCUUGUAUCUUCAAUACAAAGUUCUCCAUGAUCUUCAUGGAGAUCUAUCCGAUGUAAUCUUCUUUUGUGGUGUGUUUGUCGAGAUCCGAUGAAUUGUGGAUUUAUGAUCAGAUUAUCUAUGAAUCUUAUUUGAGUUUCUUCUGAUCUCUUAUAUGCAUGAUUUCAUAUCCUU